UGAGUACACCUUGAAUUUUACAUGUCUAUAUAAAGCUCAGAAAUUUUAAGCAUUCGUUUGAACCCAUUCAUGAGUACACCUUGAUUUGGCAAGAUAUGGAGAAGCUUGGAAUAACUUUGGAGACAGUCCUAAAUUAGAAUACUUGAUGAUUGAGAAUCCAUAAAGCCGACUCUAAAUAGUUGGGAAAAGGCUUGAUGAUUAUAAUGAUUAUGACAUCUGGAUGCCUACAAGAAUCAAUGUUACAAGAAUUUAGAACCUAUCAAAAUUUGUUAGCAGACAUCUACAAGUAUACAUUUGAUAAGCGUGGAUCUUAGGAUUGGUCUUAGAACAACUGAUAUUCUAGGUGUCAACAUGUCAUGUGUGUGCAUUGAUCUUUACUUUCUUUUUUUUUCCAGCAUUUUGCAUACCAGAACAAUAGUCAGGAGAGGUGAGACUUGUCUUAUAUUAACUAAGCUUAUAUAUGUACCAAACCACUCUUCAAUAUUCCUUAAAUAUGGAAAGAACUUAGAUUAAAACAAGAAAUCAUCAUUGAUACCAAGGACUACUACCAUCUCAGAAAUGCAUGAAAAACAAGAUAGAAAGGCAGGCAUAUGAUGCCAACUUUGAAUUGGAAAAAGAUGCAUUGCCAAUUACAUUCUGGGCAGAAUGUCAUAGAUAAUAUUUUCCAAUCUUGAACUUGGUUUCCUGCAAAUUAUGCAUUUUGUUCUAGGGAAGAUGAUUGACUCCUCAAGGAUAAGGGCGAACAGCAACGUUACGUUGCUUCUCUUCUAACAUGGAAGAUGUAUACUUACUGGGUCCCAUUAUGUAACAAUAUGUAUAUUUUUCCCAUGACAUAAUAAGAUGCACCACUC
rnacentral:lncRNA from 1 species